AUCUGAUAGAAUGGUUUUCAAACAAGCUUAUUAUUUAUUUCAGCGGUAUGUGCUCACCUACAGGUUCAGCCAAGAUCACUUGGAGCUCCUAUUUAAUUCAAUCAGAGCGUCAGGUAGGGUUGGUGUUCUUUUAAUUACAAUUUUGAAAAUAUACUGUGCCGUCAUGAGAGGCUACACAGCUCUUAGCGGGACUGUUCAAUUAGUGCGAGGACACAAAGCUCAAGUAUGAACAAGGAUUUUAUUAUAGUUCUAAGGAAUUAACAGAAACAGCGUGUCAAAUUCAAAAAGGUAACUCAGGGUCAGGUCUACCUUCAACAGAAAACUUAAAUGACGCUUCUUCUUGGCGGUAAACCUGAUUUCCUCAGGUAAGUAAACAGUCUUUUCAACCUUACUUUACUGGGUGUCCUAGCCCGAGGCUAUUCCAGUUGUAAGUCCUUCUAAUGUCUGGUGGUGUUUCCAGCCUUCCGUUUUCCUCACUGGAAACGAUACUGGAGCUGUCUGGUCCUUCCCAGAACGCACAACCCGCAGCUUGUCUCCCAACAAAAACCCCUCUCCCACUAACAGUGUCUCUGGUCCUUAAAACCCUUCAGGUCAUCAAACCAUGAUCAGUCUCAGGUGUGCGGGAAUGCCAUGUUUUGACGGGUGGAGUUCCCGACUCCACCAGCAGAUAGAGCCAUAGCUGCUCAUGGUUGCAGCCAUCUCAGGGGGAUGUAGCACCCUUCCAGGACACAGCCUCUCGUGACAUCACAAUACCUAAUGAAUAUCUUUGUCUUGUGCUGAGUGCUGCAGAGAGGGUGAUCCGCCAAGCUUCACCAAUGCCAGCUCCUAAGGUGUCGACAGUCACACACAUCGUCCGGGAGGAGAUUGGAACGGAAGAUGUUUUUCUGCUUGGGGAACACAUUGAGUAGACUCAGUUUGGCAUCGACAACCAUCAUUCUGACUUGUUGUCAUUGGUUGUGCCUGUGUUUCUCAAAAUAAGGCUGCACCACAUUACCAAAGUCACCUCUCUUGAACUGCAGAAAGGGAGCACGAGGAAGA
ensembl:lncRNA